rnacentral:rRNA from 1 species
UACGAAGGGGGCUAGCGUUGCUCGGAAUCACUGGGCGUAAAGCGCAUGUAGGCGGAUCUUUAAGUCAGGGGUGAAAUCCUGGAGCUCAACUCCAGAACUGCCUUUGAUACUGGGGAUCUCGAGUCCGGGAGAGGUGAGUGGAACUGCGAGUGUAGAGGUGAAAUUCGUAGAUAUUCGCAAGAACACCAGUGGCGAAGGCGGCUCACUGGCCCGGUACUGACGCUGAGGUGCGAAAGCGUGGGGAGCAAACAGG